ACGUAGGGUGCAAGCGUUGUCCGGAAUUACUGGGUGUAAAGGGAGCGCAGGCGGGAAGACAAGUUGGAAGUGAAAACCAUGGGCUCAACCCAUGAAUUGCUUUCAAAACUGUUUUUCUUGAGUAGUGCAGAGGUAGAUGGAAUUCCCGGUGUAGCGGUGGAAUGCGUAGAUAUCGGGAGGAACACCAGUGGCGAAGGCGGUCUACUGGGCACAAACUGACGCUGAGGCUCGAAAGCAUGGGUAGCAAACAG
rnacentral:rRNA from 1 species